AGAGUUUGAUCAUGGCUCAGAACGAACGCUGGCGGCGUGCUUAACACAUGCAAGUCGAGUGCGCGUCUGUAGCAAUACAGAUGGCGCACGGCGCACGGGUGCGUAACACGUGGGCAAUCUGCCCUUCGAUGGGGAAUAACUCCGGGAAACCGAAGCUAAUUCCGCAUAACAUUCCUUGGACUUUGGUUCGGGGAUUCAAAGCCGUAAGGCGUCGAAGGAGGAGCCCGCGCCCGAUUAGCUAGUUGGCGAGGUAAUGGCUCACCAAGGCAAUGAUCGGUAGCUGGUCUGAGAGGAUGGCCAGCCACACUGGAACUGAGACACGGUCCAGACUCCUACGGGAGGCAGCAGUGGGGAAUCUUGCACAAUGGGCGAAAGCCUGAUGCAGCGACGCCGCGUGGGGGAUGAAGCAUCUCGGUGUGUAAACCCCUUUCGACCCGGAAGAAUGCCUCGCAAGAGGACUGACGGUACGGGUAUAAGAAGCCCCGGCUAACUACGUGCCAGCAGCCGCGGUAAGACGUAGGGGGCCAGCGUUGUUCGGAAUUACUGGGUGUAAAGGGUUCGUAGGCGGUGCGGCAAGUUGGGAGUGAAAUCUCUGGGCUCAACCCAGAGGCUGCUUCCAAAACUGCUGUGCUUGAGUGUGGGAGAGGCGCGUGGAAUUGCAGGUGUAGCGGUGAAAUGCGUAGAUAUCUGCAGGAACACCCGUGGCGAAAGCGGCGCGCUGGACCACUACUGACGCUGAGGAACGAAAGCUAGGGGAGCAAACAGGAUUAGAUACCCUGGUAGUCCUAGCCCUAAACGAUCAGGACUUGGGGUGCCACCCGUUCGGGUGUCGUCCCGGAGCUAACGCGUUAAGUCCUGCACCUGGGGAGUACGGUCGCAGACUGAACUCAAGGAUUGACGGGGCCCGCACAGCGUGGAACAUGUGGUUCAAUUCGACGCUACGCGAGGACCUUACUGGGCUCGAAUGC
rnacentral:rRNA from 1 species